UAGACGGUCAUAUAAUCAGGCCACCUGCGCGCUACUGACCUAGAUUCCUUGUGGGCUGACACACCCGUGUAGUAGGCCCACAACCUUGUAGAUCAUUAGUAGUGAUAAGCCUACGCAGGGUGCGGCGGUCAGUUUGAAUUGUUGUUUUCUCAUGCUUUGACACUGGAUUAUUUCUGCCUAAUGCAGUUUGCUUUUCAAGUCAUCUGGAUUAUGUGAAUAUUUUCUACAUCAUUGUGUGGUGAGGAACAGAAGUGGUGACUAAUUAAUUAAUUAAUUAAGAUUGACCAACAGUUUUGAGAUCGCAAAUUUGAAGUGCUGUUUGGCUGCACUGUAGGCCUACUGUUCAUUUUCAGAUUCUUCAUCGCCAUCGUACUGAAUGCCUGGAUUCUUUUAGUUGAGGCCUAAUGCAGUUGGGUUUUUUUCAAAUCAUCUGGAUUGUGUGAAUAUCAAAUAUCUCUUCCAUCAGUUGCUUACAUGCUUCUCUUCUAGGCCUAUUUAUUGCUUUCAUCAUGUGUGGUUAUGACUCUGUUGGACUGUGACUGACACCUUCAAAAUAAACUGAAGGAAUAAAAACAACAAUGGGAAGAAAAUGCUCAGUUGGUGGAUGCAAAACUGGCUAUGACAGUCAGAAAGGUGCAGAAAAAGUGACCUUGUAUGGAUUUCCUUCAGAUGAAACAGCAUGUCGGGCAUGGACUGCUAGCUUACCAAACAUUUUAUCCUAUGAAAAGGUGUCAAAACAUAUCAGUGUGUGCCCUCCAUUUCCGAAAAACUCUAACUCAACUCAAGUCAACUUUCUGUCUUUCCAUCGCUUUUGUCUGUCUAGAAUAAUUUUUUACAUGUCCGUUAGUUUGAACACAAACACAGGGAAGCUAAACCAUUGAGAGAGAGAGAGAGAGAGAGAGA